rnacentral:lncRNA from 1 species
CGUGUCCAUGAUUGACAGGUUGGCGCUGCCUUCCCUCGAGCAUGCGCAGAUACCCUAUUUAUGUGAUUAUGAG